rnacentral:rRNA from 1 species
AUUUCAUUGAGAGUUUGAUCCUGGCUCAGGACGAACGCUGGCGGCGUGCCUAAUACAUGCAAGUCGUGCGGACAUCUUCGGAUGUCAGCGGCGGACGGGUGAGUAACACGUGGGCAAUCUGCCUUUCAGACCGGAAUAACACUC